GCAUAUCAUAACAUAACCCACAACAAAAUUCACAACAUAAACACCAAAGUUAAAAUAAAACAAAAUUCAUAACAUAACCCGCAACAAUUUACUAAAUUCCAGAAGCUUAAAUUACAACAAGAUCCAGCAACAACACCAAAAGAAAAAAAAAACUUAACUUCCACAAUACACUUAAAUUCCACGCCAGAUCUUUCACAUAACAAAAAAUUAAAACAAAAAGAACUUAACUUCCACAAUACACUUAAAUUCUACGCCAGAUCUUUCACAUAACAAAAAAUUAAAACAAAAAGAACUUAACUUCCACAAUACACUUAAAUUCUACGCCAGAUCUUUCACAUAACAAAAAAUUAAAACAAAAAGAACUUAACUUCCACAAUACACUUAAAUUCUACGCCAGAUCUUUCACAUAACAAAAAAUUAAAACAAAAAGAACUUAACUUCCACAAUACACUUAAAUUCUACGCCAGAUCUUUCACAUAACAAAAAAUUAAAACAAAAAGAACUUAACUUCCACAAUACACUUAAAUUCUACGCCAGAUCUUUCACAUAACAAAAAAUUAAAAUAAAAAGAACAAGCUGAAAAAGCCCACUGCUCACUUAAUCUUUGCCGAGAGAGCCGAGAGAGGGGAAGACGGAGGAGGUCGUGAAGCUGCGUGAGAAGAAGCCUGAAAGUGAAGCUGCGUGAGAACUGACGAAAUGGAGGAAAAUGAAAGUGAAAGAGAAAAAUGAAAGUGAAAGAGAGAGGAAAGUUUUGGGGGAAAAUGAAAAAGUCAAGGACAGAGGAAAGUGAAAUCGUGGGGAAGUGAAAAAGUGAAAGAGGGAGCAAAGCAUUCCAACGCCAUUUGUUUAUUCAUUUGAUCAUUUCUUUUAUUUUUUUUAUGUUUAAAGAGUGAGAGGAAAUGAG
rnacentral:lncRNA from 1 species